UAACACUUAGAAAUAGGUGCUAAUACCGCAUAACAACAGAAAGCGCAUGCUUUUUGUUUGAAAACCAAGGUGGUAUGGGAUGGACCCGCGUCUGAUUAGCUGGUUGGCGGGGUAAAGGCCCACCAAGGCGACGAUCAGUAGCCGGCCUGAGAGGGUGGACGGCCACAUUGGGACUGAGACACGGCCCAAACUCCUACGGGAGGCAGCAGUGGGGAAUAUUGCACAAUGGGGGAAACCCUGAUGCAGCGACGCCGCGUGAGUGAAGAAGUAAUUCGUUAUGUAAAGCUCUAUCAGCAGGGAAGAAAAUGACGGUACCUGAGUAAGAAGCCCCGGCUAACUACGUGCCAGCAGCCGCGGUAAUACGUAGGGGGCAAGCGUUAUCCGGAUUUACUGGGUGUAAAGGGAGCGUAGACGGCAGUGCAAGUCUGGAGUGAAAGGCGGGGGCUCAACCCCCGGACUGCUCUGGAAACUGUACGGCUGGAGUGCAGGAGAGGUAAGUGGAAUUCCUAGUGUAGCGGUGAAAUGCGUAGAUAUUAGGAGGAACACCAGUGGCGAAGGCGGCUUACUGGACUGUAACUGACGUUGAGGCUCGAAAGCGUGGGGAGCAAACAGGAUUAGAUACCCUGGUAGUCCACGCCGUAACGAUGAUCACUACGUGU
rnacentral:rRNA from 1 species